GGAAGAGAGCUGUUUAUGCUCAGUGGUUAUUUUUUUCUUUUUUUUUUUUAUUAUUUAUCUCCUCUGUGCUAUCCUGCAGUAGCUACGUGCGUUCCUAGCCCGGCGUUGUUAAGGCACGCCGCCUUAUGUAGGUAGCACAGGGGAACGCCGUGAGGAUCGUGUUUAGCUAUCGGUCUCCGGAGCCUUGAGCCUAUUUAUAGCGUUCAGACUCCAUUACAACAGAUCUGCCAGACUGGCAUUUUGCAGCCGAUGAGGUGUUACAAAGAGCAAAUAAAAUACGAAGCAGCCUCUUCCUUCAGCUUUGGAGCCGCGUAACGUGCACUGGAGAAAAGGGCCCUUGGUUGAAAUGAGGCAGGAGCUGAGGAAGUUCAGCCGUGUUGAAACAGAGGAUUGUUACAGAUCAGCUUUUUCUCAUCUGGUUGCCAAAACUUAAAUGCUUCUCCAAAGUAGUUGCAGGUUUAUUUCCAGAACAUACCGAGGAUGAAACAUUCAUUCUUCUCUAAUCUGAAGACCAAAAGAGGAGAGGAAAAAAAAAAAAUAAAGUGUCAGGUUUUCUUUGUCUCCACAAACACAAGGAAUUUUACGCUAUCAUUUGAGUGAGUAAUCAGUUCGAUUUGGUACUCGUUUGCCUGGGUGUAGAACUACAGAACUUUGUCAACACUGAUGGAAAACUACAGAACCCAUGGAAAACACUGUCGUUGCAGCGGUGCGUUGCCCAAGUUGGCAUCAUUUACGUGGUGAAGACGAACGGAAUCGGAUCGUGGUGUUGCAGUGGUGUAGGAUUUGAUGUACCUUCUCCCUUACUGCCAAUUUCUGCUCAUAUAGCCAUAAAAGAAAUGUUUGAUGCUGUAAUCCAGUGUAGUUGGUUUCUUGAAGAUGGAUGUUAAUUGAACCAACAUGGGAUUAAAGAAGACUUUCCUGUCUGUUCGUGUGACCUGUUUUAACAGCUCUUACCCAAACAGUGGAAAAGUACACGAGUGCAUCUGUAGACAUUUGGCAGCUGGUGUCUCCAGAAGCCAUUUCUAGGACCUUCAUUUGUUCCUGUUCAUUUGAAUUAGCUGGUAUCACUUUCUUGAGUUUGAUUACAGUCUUGACAUAUUCCUCAGUUUUAAAUCGAAACAGAGAAUGGCAGAGAAGAGGGGGAGAACGAAGGAAGGAGCAGAGUAUUCAUCCCUGUAUAUUGUAAAUAGAAUGGAACAGAAUGCUUGUGUAUAAUAAUAUAUAUAUAUAAAAUAUAUAUAUAUAAUAAUAAAUGCAUGUG
rnacentral:lncRNA from 1 species